GCCAAUUAACCUACCUCACAUUAUUCCUCUCUCCACUGCUCUACGAUCGACGUGCCGAACGGAGCUUCAACCAAGCAAUGGCAUCCGGCCUCCUGAAUCGGAAUCUCUUUCCGAUUUCUGCAACAUUGGUGAGAAUUUCUACAUGAACUCUGUUCGCUCAGAACCUGAAACUGAAGAGCUCGAGCUCAGCAUUCGCGUGAAAAUAAUGCAGUUUUCGAGCAAUGGAACCAACCUUUCUACAAGUUUUCUAUCUUAUCUCUGCCUUUUGCUCAAGCUUUUCGCUGUGAGUAAGUAUAUAUAAAUUUGCGCGUUUACAUGAUUUUGAAUUAGCACUUCUGAUGAAGUUGCCUUGAUUACUUGAUAUUGAUAUCCACCAAAAGACUCCGAGAACUGUCGCGAGUUACUCGUAUUCUUCAUUUUACAUCCUCAUGAUAUUAAUCUUCAUUUUCAUAUGUAUUUUUUAAAAGUUUUAGGGAGGUGAUCCGCUCUUUAUUUCAUUCUAACCAGCUCUCCGGAUUGUUUCUUUUUUUCCAGCUCAAUAUGUGUCUUUAUUUUUGUGUUUCAUCUGGUAUUUUUACUUGAUAUCCUCCUUUAACUAGUUUGUUCUACAAUAUGCAAUUCCGGUGUGGAACAUAUUUUAAACAGAUACAGUUGCAAAGAUUAUAUGUCAUAUCAAUGCAAUUAAAUGGAACCAACAGUUGUGCGCGGUAGACCUAGAACUACUUUGUUAAUGUUAAUUACAUAAUCGCGCAGAGAUGACAGACUGAUAGACACAUAGGAUUAAUAAGAUUUAGCCUAUCUACUUUGCUAUAUUCUUUUAUCCUGCUUACAUAAUUUUCUGUCGUGGAAAUCAAGUUUUUGCCAAUGCUUACAUUCUAGCAUCUCUAAAACUAUGAUUGAAAGACUUGCCUUGACAAUCAAAUGUAAUAGAAUCAAACAAUUGUCCCGAGAGAUUAGUCAAGGUCCACCACAAGUUGGCCGGACACUCAUGGAUAUUAAAAAAUAAUAAUAAUAAUAAAAAAAAAAGUUAGGGUAAAAUAAGUAUUUAUCUGGUUCUGGUCAGGAAAUUGCUCAUAUCAGUAACCUCUUAUCCUUAUAUGAUGUCUCUCAUCUUGUUGCUAAAGAGAAGGUAGCCACAUUUUCCUUCUCUUCAUUGGCAAGACUUCUAUGGGGCUCAAGAACAGUGUCGGUUAGUUCUCUCAGCAGGAGGAAUAUUAAUUUGGUAACGUGUCUUUCUGAUUAUGCAGUUAUCAUAUGUCGGAGGCCAAAACAACACUAUCUUCUUAUAGCUUGGGGUUUAACCUUUAUUGAAUUACAUAGGUUAUAUUGGAACAAAAUAUAUGUUACGCAUGGAGGAGUUAAAUUUCUAUGGAGUUUACUAGGAAGAUAUGAAGAGUCAAAGUGGCUUAUUGAGUUGGUUACAAAAAGGAAUGCAGUUUCGCGAUGAAUUUGGUCGAGCUAUUUUUUGUUGCACCAAUAUCCUAUAUAUAAAUCUAUUUAAAGCUUGAGCUGUUGACUUUAUGGCCACCUCUCCUCCAUUUUACUCUGUAAAAUCAUCCUGGUACCUAAAAAUAAUUUAUUUCAUGCAAAUGGAUGCAGUUUUAUUUGGAACGCAUUUUCUUUGAAGAUUGGUUUGAUAUUUAGCUUUUAUUUGUCUUAAAUGAAUGGAAAAGAUACAUAAAAAAACUGGUUUUUUGUUGCAUCCUGAAGCUCUACGACGCAAUUAUUUCUGUAACAAGUUUCCAAUUUCCACUUGUUGAAACAGAGUUGUCCGCCAUCGUGGAUAUAGUGUGCAGUGUGAAUAUCCAUUCAUAGGGAACUGCCUCAACAGACCCACCACCCAGAAAGUUGCAACUUUUCUCAUACGAGAACAACCUGUAUACUCGAAGUGUGCGCGAGGCAUUGUGAGAGCUGGACCUUCCUUGCAUCUUUCAUAAACGUGGGAGAAGGAUCAUAACGGACAAAGUUAGUUCUCAACAUCUCCGGAUCGAAAGAGGUACCUUAUUUUGUCGAUCCCAGUACUGGUAUUGAAACUGGCAUCUACAAGCAGAUUUUGUCUCAUAUUCUAGACAUGUUCUGCAGCCACCCUGCAAUUUUGGCGUCUGAUACCAUUACAUGCCUUACCUGUGAAGCAAUACAAGUCUUUGCCAAACAAGCUUUUAUAGUCGCAAAUAUAUUUUUGUACAAGAAGAAAGCAAGGGUAUUGAUUGCAUUCUUAAAUAUUAUGUCCUAAAUCCCUAUUGAUGAGUAAGUUGAAUGUAAUAUUAGAUUUACAGGAUCAACAGAAGAACUUGAAUGCUAGAUAGACCAUAUCUUCAA